GGAGUUAGCCGGUGCUUCUUCUGUGAGUGAUGUCCUUCCUGCCGGUUAUUGACCCGCAGGCCUUCUUCCUCACUGAAAGUGCUUUACAACCCGAAGGCCUUCUUCACACACGCGGCAUGGCUGGAUCAGGGUUGCCCCCAUUGUCCAAUAUUCCCCACUGCUGCCUCCCGUAGGAGUCUGGGCCGUGUCUCAGUCCCAGUGUGGCUGAUCAUCCUCUCAGACCAGCUACGGAUCGUCGCCUUGGUGAGCCGUUACCUCACCAACCAGCUAAUCCGACAUAGGCUCAUCCGAUAGCGCGAGGCCCGAAGGUCCCCCGNUUUCCCCCGUAGGGCGUAUGCGGUAUUAGCCUGGGUUUCCCCAGGUUAUCCCCCACUACCGGGCAGAUUCCUAUGCAUUACUCACCCGUCCGCCGCUCGCCACCAGGGAGCAAGCUCCCCGUGCUGCCGCUCGACUUGCAUGUGUAGCUCGCCGCCACGCGUCAUCUGAGCAGAANACAACUACUGA
rnacentral:rRNA from 1 species